GGGGCUGUAGCUCAGCUUGGUUAGAGUGCCGGUCUGUCACACCGGAGGUCGCGGGUUCGAGCCCCGUCAGCCCCGCCA
rnacentral:tRNA from 1 species